rnacentral:misc_RNA from 1 species
AAGUCGUAACAAGGUUUCCGUAGGUGAACCUGCGGAAGGAUCAUUAACACAAUACUUUCAUAUCAACCUUGGAGCACUGGAUGAACCUUUGAUUGCAAGCGCUGGAUUUGGAUUGGCAAUGGUUGGAUUUUAUUUCAUAAAAUUCGGCUCUUCCAGCUAAUAAUAUCCUCCUCUCGGGGAAGAGAUAUGGGCUUGACUUUCUUAGGUAUUACAGCCUCAACCAUGGCUGGCCUUUUUUUUUUAAAACUACUUGAAAUUUGUACUGAUUUGGGCUUCGGAUCGAGAGGAGCAAUCCUUUCUCUAAGCUUUUGAUGGAGUAAUCCAUUCAAAUAACCAAAACACAACUCUUAACAGCGGAUAUCUCGGUUCUC